rnacentral:rRNA from 1 species
GACGAACGCUGGCGGCGUGCUUAACACAUGCAAGUCGAACGGUAAGGCCCUUCGGGGUACACGAGUGGCGAACGGGUGAGUAACACGUGGGUGAUCUGCCCUGCACUUCGGGAUAAGCCUGGGAAACUGGGUCUAAUACCGGAUAGGACUCCGGACUGCAUGGGCGGGGGUGGAAAGCUUUUGCGGUGUGGGAUGGGCCCGCGGCCUAUCAGCUCGUUGGUGGGGUGAUGGCCUACCAAGGCGACGACGGGUAGCCGGCCUGGGAGGGUGACCGGCCACACUGGGACUGAGAUACGGCCCAGACUCCUACGGGAGGCAGCAGUGGGGAAUAUUGCACAAUGGGCGCAAGCCUGAUGCAGCGACGCCGCGUGAGGGAUGACGGCCUUCGGGUUGUAAACCUCUUUCAGCAUCGACGAAGCGAAAGUGACGGUAGGCGCAGAAGAAGGACCGGCCAACUACGUGCCAGCCGCCGCGGUAA